GACGAACGCUGGCGGCGUGCUUAACACAUGCAAGUCGAACGGAAAGGCCUCUUUCGGGGGGUACUCGAGUGGCGAACGGGUGAGUAACACGUGAGUAACCUGCCCUUGACUUUGGGAUAACUUCAGGAAACGGGGGCUAAUACCGGAUAGGAGCUCCUGCUGCAUGGUGGGGGUUGGAAAGUUUCGGCGGUUGGGGAUGGACUCGCGGCUUAUCAGCUUGUUGGUGGGGUAGUGGCUUACCAAGGCUUUGACGGGUAGCCGGCCUGAGAGGGUGACCGGCCAAAUUGGGACUGAGAUACGGCCCAGACUCCUACGGGAGGCAGCAGUGGGGAAUAUUGCACAAUGGGUGGAAGCCUGAUGCAGCAACGCCGUGUGCGGGAUGACGGCCUUCGGGUUGUAAACCGCUUUCGCUCAUGACGAAGCUUUGUGUGACGGUAGUGGGUAAAGAAGCACCGGCUAACUACGUG
rnacentral:rRNA from 1 species